CAUAAGUAACGAUAAAGCGGGUGAAAAGCCCGCUCGCCGGAAGACCAAGGGUUCCUGUCCAACGUUAAUCGGGGCAGGGUGAGUCGACCCCUAAGGCGAGGCCGAAAGGCGUAGUCGAUGGGAAACGGGUUAAUAUUCCCGUACUUGGUGUUACUGCGAAGGGGGGACGGAGAAGGCUAUGUUGGCCGGGCGACGGUUGUCCCGGUUUAAGCGUGUAGGCUGGUUUUCCAGGCAAAUCCGGAAAAUCAAGGCUGAGGCGUGAUGACGAGGCACUACGGUGCUGAAGCAACAAAUGCCCUGCUUCCAGGAAAAGCCUCUAAGCAUCAGGUAACAUCAAAUCGUACCCCAAACCGACACAGGUGGUCAGGUAGAGAAUACCAAGGCGCUUGAGAGAACUCGGGUGAAGGAACUAGGCAAAAUGGUGCCGUAACUUCGGGAGAAGGCACGCUGACACGUAGGUGAAGUGAUUUACUCAUGGAGCUGAAGUCAGUCGAAGAUACCAGCUGGCUGCAACUGUUUAUUAAAAACACAGCACUGUGCAAACACGAAAGUGGACGUAUACGGUGUGACGCCUGCCCGGUGCCGGAAGGUUAAUUGAUGGGGUCAGCGCAAGCGAAGCUCCUGAUCGAAGCCCCGGUAAACGGCGGCCGUAACUAUAACGGUCCUAAGGUAGCGAAAUUCCUUGUCGGGUAAGUUCCGACCUGCACGAAUGGCGUAAUGAUGGCCAGGCUGUCUCCACCCGAGACUCAGUGAAAUUGAACUCGCUGUGAAGAUGCAGUGUACCCGCGGCAAGACGGAAAGACCCCGUGAACCUUUACUAUAGCUUGACACUGAACAUUGAGCCUUGAUGUGUAGGAUAGGUGGGAGGCUUUGAAGUGUGGACGCCAGUCUGCAUGGAGCCGACCUUGAAAUACCACCCUUUAAUGUUUGAUGUUCUAACGUGGACCCGUUACCCGGGUUGCGGACAGUGUCUGGUGGGUAGUUUGACUGGGGCGGUCUCCUCCUAAAGAGUAACGGAGGAGCACGAAGGUUGGCUAAUCCUGGUCGGACAUCAGGAGGUUAGUGCAAUGGCAUAAGCCAGCUUGACUGCGAGCGUGACGGCGCGAGCAGGUGCGAAAGCAGGUCAUAGUGAUCCGGUGGUUCUGAAUGGAAGGGCCAUCGCUCAACGGAUAAAAGGUACUCCGGGGAUAACAGGCUGAUACCGCCCAAGAGUUCAUAUCGACGGCGGUGUUUGGCACCUCGAUGUCGGCUCAUCACAUCCUGGGGCUGAAGUAGGUCCCAAGGGUAUGGCUGUUCGCCAUUUAAAGUGGUACGCGAGCUGGGUUUAGAACGUCGUGAGACAGUUCGGUCCCUAUCUGCCGUGGGCGCUGGAGAACUGAGGGGGGCUGCUCCUAGUACGAGAGGACCGGAGUGGACGCAUCACUGGUGUUCGGGUUGUCAUGCCAAUGGCACUGCCCGGUAGCUAAAUGCGGAAGAGAUAAGUGCUGAAAGCAUCUAAGCACGAAACUUGCCCCGAGAUGAGUUCUCCCUGAGACUUUAGGUCUCCUGAAGGAACGUUGAAGACGACGACGUUGAUA
rnacentral:rRNA from 1 species